ACGGGCUGGGUGUGUGUUCUUAUUUAUCCCUCACUAAUGUACUGGUGUCGAUGGUAUUUAGUGCGAACGCUGAAAAGACUUUACAUGAAUUAAAAAAUAAUAAUAACUUGAUUAUAAAUAAAAGACAGUGAUUCUAACUGAUCUGAAGAUGUGACGUGGUCUUAAAGAAACUGAGCUGCACGGACGUCUUUAUAAUCAGCACGCAGAGCUACGACAACGCUCGUAAACAGAUCAUCUCCUGUAAAAGGACGAGCAGAGAGACGACCCGUGUCCUCCGUUUCUAAUCACAGCACAGGAUACAGGGCCAACAGCUCAUCUCUCGGAGCGCCGUCCUCCAAAACACACGCAGACCCAUGGAGAAGAUCUACAGUGCCCUUCUAUCCAGAGCUGUUCUUCCAUCCUGUGUCUGUCUUCCUCUCUCUGUCUUUCUCCCUCAGUCUCUCUCACUUUCCCAGCAUCUCUCCCAGUCUCUCUCUCACCAGUUGUCUCUCUCUCUCUCUCAGUCUCUCUCUUACUUUCAGUGUCUCUCUCAUUCUCACUUACUUUCCCAGUGUCUCUCUCCCAGUCUCUCUCUCACUUCCCCAGUGUCUCUCUCACAGUCUCUCUCUUACUUUCAGUGUCUCUCUCCCAGUCUCUCUUACUUUUCCCAGUGUCUCUCUCCCAGUGUCUCUCUCCCAGUCUUUCUCUUACUUUCCCAGUGUCUCUCUCUCCCAAUAAUUCUCUCUCCUAGUCUCUUACUUUCCAGUGUCUCCCUCUCACUUCCCCAGUGUCUCUCUCUCUCCCAGUCUCUCUUACUUUCAGUGUCUCUCUCCCCAUUCUCUCUCUUACUUUCCCAGUGUCUCUCUCCCAGUGUCUUACUUUCCCAGUCUCUCGCUCACUUCCCCAGUGUGUCUCUCUUACUUUCCCAAUGUCUCUCUCUCACUUCCCCAGUGUCUCUCUCUCCCUGUCUGUCUCUCACUCCAGUCUCUCACUUUCCCAGCAUCUCUCCCUCCCAGUAUCUCUCUCCCCGUUUCUCUCUCUCUCGCUCCCCCCGUGUCUUCCUCCGUGUGUCUUUCUUUGUGUGUCUCUCACUCCAGUCUCUUUCUUCUCCCUCAGUCUCUCUCACUUGUCCUGCAUAUUUCUCCCUCUCUUUAGAUGACUUCAAGUCGUGCUGAUUAUAAAUCCCUCGGUUCACACCUCGGGGGUUUGGACACCUGCAGCAGGAGGUGUUAUGCGCGGGCGCAUCAUCGUAUGCGAGAGGCUGCGCCGUUGGGCUCAGGUGUUCCCCGCCGUCAUCCUACAGACGCAUGACAAACCCAGACGGUGAGUAAGAACCCAGCACACGUACAGUGUAAGAAAGAGCGCGUCAGG
ensembl:lncRNA